GCAACCUGGUCUAGUGGAAGGUGUCCCUGCUUGCAAAGGGAAAAACUGCUGCCUGAAGGUACCAUGAUGGCCCCGGCCACGGCGCAUCACCACACACCGCACCGGGAUGGCCCCGGCAGCAGCGCCUCACCACCCCUGGUAAAAACUGUGUGGGCGCUGCUUUGACUUUCUUCUUCAAUGUGUCAUCACAAAAGAGUUACCAGCCUCUCUGAUUGGGCCAGCAGCAUGUCCAUCUUCAGAGCCAUCAGUGAUUGGCUUCCAGCAGCUUCUCACAGGAGCCGCUGUCUGUGGCACUCCUUGGCUACCAAAAAACCCAGCUGUGCCAAAUCAACACAAAGCAGCUGUUUGCUGUCCUUCCCUUGGGCUGUGUGAGCCUGCAGUAGAAUGACAGAAAUGGGAAUUCUUGGCUUAGUUGUGCUUCCUCAGGCCCAGGGCAGGUUUUGGCAAUGAUCCCAGAACUCUUCCCUGAAAGGGAGUUGUUUCUGAGAAGCACCCAGAUGCUUCACCAGCACUGCCAGCACCGCCAAUAAAACAUGGUUUAGCUGGAAAAACCUGGGUUAACCAUUAAAGAUAGACAAUAUAUUCUGGUAAUAUUAAAAGAACAAAACAUUUAUACCAUGAUGUAAUAAAUUGGAAGCACUUUUGGGAGUAUAUAUAAAAAAGUACCAAAACACCUAUGCCAAGAUGUAAUAAAUUGGGAGCAUUUUUGGGAGUAUCUAUAAAAAAUCUUGGAUAUUAUUGUGUAUAAAAUAAUACACAAUAUUAUUAUUAAUAGUGCUGAAUUAAUUGUAUUAUUAUUAUUGUGCCUGAAAAUUGUUGUUCCUUUGAACAUGUCUAUGGCAAAUAAAUUUCCAAUUUGUUCAAAA